rnacentral:rRNA from 1 species
UACGUAGGGCGCAAGCGUUGUCCGGAAUUACUGGGCGUAAAGGGCGCGUAGGCGGCCUGCUAAGUCGAACGUGAAAUCCCCGGGCUCAACCCGGGAACUGCGUCCGAUACUGGCAGGCUUGAAUUCGGGAGAGGGAUGCGGAAUUCCAGGUGUAGCGGUGAAAUGCGUAGAUAUCUGGAGGAACACCGGUGGCGAAGGCGGCAUCCUGGACCGAAAUUGACGCUGAGGCGCGAAAGCCAGGGGAGCAAACGGG